rnacentral:rRNA from 1 species
CCCUUAGAUGUUCUGGGCCGCACGCGCGCUACACUGACGAUGGCAACGAGUUUUUCCUUCGCCGAAAGGUGUGGGUAAUCUUUUGAAACAUCGUCGUGCUGGGGAUAGAUCAUUGCAAUUUUUGAUCUUGAACGAGGAAUUCCUAGUAAGCGCGAGUCAUCAGCUCGCGUUGAUUACGUCCCUGCCCUUUGUACACACCGCCCGUCGCUACUACCGAUUGAAUGGUUUAGUGGGGUAUUUGGACUGGGCCUUGGGAGGUUUCGGCCUCCCUUGUUGCUCGGAAAGACUCCCAAACUUGAGCGUUUAGAGGAAGUAAAAGUCGUAACA